UAUUUGGUUAAAAACAAAAAUCUAAAGACAUAUUCAUGUGAAACUCGUGGAACACACAUAUAAUAUUUCUAUAUGUGACAUAAAUUUUUAGGGAGUAUGUGACAUAAAAUUAAAAUUGUAGACUUUGAAAUUAUAAUAAUUCUCCAGUAUGUUAUUGUACUCUCCCAGAUGUGAUACUCAAAGAAUCAACGAGGAAUCCAUUGACACCUGUAAUCAAUACACUUAUGAAUAAAAUAUUUGUUGGUUCCACGUCUUGGACAAUUGUCAUCAGUUUUACAUAUAAGUUCACCUGUUUAAAUUUCAAAGAUAAUAAAAUAACAUUACUAAAACAUAGAAAUCGUUGUGUAGGAACUAAGAAGUGAAGAAGAAAAUUCUGGAAAAAGGAUGAAAGAAUAUCUUACGAUAAUGUUCAUUUGCAAUGAAAAGAAUUAAACUCAUAGCAUAAAUAAAUUUGAUUAUUGCAGACAUA
rnacentral:lncRNA from 1 species